GCUGCCGGCCCCCCAUCCCCCGCCACGACCCGCAACCCUCCAUCCGGAACGGACACCCAGAUCAUGCCUCCGCUGCUGGUUGGAGGCACCGUCUGGCCAGGGAUGGAACCCCCAGGACGAGGCCCUCUCCAGUCUCCCAGGCCUGCCUGCUCCCCUCACAAGCUCCGUGCCAACAGAGAGGUUCCUGUCCAGACCCAGAACGGUGGGACGGAGACACUGAGACUGAGUGCCGGGCUGGGAAGGCGUCUGCCCCUACCCAAGGGGGACGGCUGGGGCGGCUGGAGACCCCGCCCGCCCACAGCUCGUGCCGCCAGCCUCGCCUUGGCUGCUGGCCUUUCGCCAUCACGAUGGAUGUUUACAGGAGCCCAGCCAGUCUGCCUCCCCGCUCUUCGCCCCCGGCCGCACCGCUUCCCCCACGUCACCUUCCCAGAGGACGCUUCACACUCGGGACACACACACGCAAGCGACUCCCAGCCCCGUCUGAAGCCACUGGGGCCCCGGCCUGGUUGGGUCUGGCCUGAGGCUGGUCCUAGACGCAGUGACUGUGGCAGGGAGUGACUCAGAGGAAAAGAAGCCCAGGAACGUGUCAGCCGAGGGCAGGGUUUCGACUCACUCCUUUCGAGUGGCUGGUUCUUCACCACGUGGCCAGAAGUGACUUCGCACCGGGAGAGGGCCACGUUGCUCCUCUGGCCGGAAAUAUUUUUGAAAAUGUGAGUGGUAUGAAUACUUGACUUCGACAGACCUGUAAAAGCAAUACUUAGGAGCCUGACUUAUUUCAAUUAAAAAAUGUAUGCAACUCCACCCGCUGCGGGCGGCAUUUUUCUUUUUCUCUGAGAUUCGGGAAAGGAGUCCUUGCGCAGAACCUGUGGUUGACAAAGGGCAGAAGAGCCGGGGCCUCCGCAGGUGGAGAUCCCGCAGGGUUUGAAGAGUUUCCUCAGCUGGGCUGGCGGGGGGUCCCAGGCCGCCCCCACCCCCACCUUCCCCAAGCCUGUCAGCCAGGGGGCCUCUGGGGUGUGGGGGGAAGGCCCGUGGCCAUGCAGGAAAUCUGGCCCGCGUCCCAGAGCAGUCAGCGGUGUGGUACGCCCAGCGCUGGGCACACGGAGUCCAAGGAGGGGACGCUCGGAAUCGUGGACCGGAGCAGGCGCUCGAGAGGCCCGGGGGCCAGGUGAGCCCGAGAAGGGAGAGACGUCCCCGGGAGAGGCCCAAGGGGAACGGAGGGGCUUCCAAAGAUGCUGGGACUUGAAAUCCCUCCCCAUGCGGCAUGACCCCAGAUGUCACCAGAUGCCCCGAUUCCUCUGAGCAUUGCUUCCCCCCGACCCCAACAGAGAGGGCUCAGGGAGAACUCCAGCACACUGCGCCCGUGCCCGCGGAGAGGCCCUCCGAGGAAGUCAGAAGUCGUGUUUGCAUCUUGACUCCCUCCUUUAUAGGGGUGUGGCCUUAGGCAGGUCACCUCUUCUGUGAAGUGGGGACAGUAAUUUACCCAUCUCGUCAGAUGACUUUGUGUCCCUUACAAAGGUGCCCCUCCGGGCCGAGGUGGCUCCACACCAGGACUCACAGCUUGGCAAGCAGAGCCCAGACUGCACUGCAGCCCCCAUUUGCCCCCUUGUCCAGGUGCCUUUGUGCAGUGCGCAGACUGCCCAAUCACACCCAACAGUCCUGCUCCGAGAUUUUUUUUUUAAUUUUACUAAAAUUAGAAAGACUUACGAGAGCAUCUUAUUCACCACUGUGCUGUCAGUUCAUAUUUGCGGAAUGAAGAAAGCAGAGUUGUGGGGAUUAUUCAUUCAUUCCACAAACAUUUGCUGAGCACAUACUGUGUCCAAGUUGCCUUGCUGGGUGCAGAGGGCAGACAAGUCACCUGCCCUCCUGGAGCUCCCAUCCCGGCACAAGAGCAGACAAUGCAACAGAUAUGUGUGACAGAGACCAACUAGUGACGGGGUUGGGGCGUGGGGGCGAAGGGCUGUCUGUUUAUAAUGGGGCGGCCUGGGGAGGAGCUGUCCCUUAUGCCGAGUCUUGAAGGAUGGGAAGACGGCAGCUGCGUGAGGAGCCGGGAAGAGCAUUCCAGGCGGAGGGGAGAAAGAAACACCUAUUCGUAGGUAACCAGGACGGCUCACAGGUAUCGAGCCGCAUGCCAGGCCCUUGUUCUCACUGUCAGCUCCUGGAAUCUGCACAUAAGCCCGGGAAGCAGGUCCUUUACUCAUGCCCAUCUUACAGACGAGGAGACCGAGGCACAGAGAAGUAAUCGCACAAGGGGGGUGGUGAGCUGGGCAUCGAGCCCAGGCUGCCCAGCCCUGGAGUCUGUGUUGCUGCCCCUACACCAUGGUCCCUCUUGAGCAGAGGGCUUGGCAUGGUGCCCGGCACAGAGUAACAAUAAUGCUAACAUUUAUUGAGCACUUCCUGUGUCCCUUGCACUGUGAUAAGCACCGUACAUGUAUCAGCUCAUUCAAUAAAUGUUCGUUAUCGUUUAAAAGCUGUAACUGGAUAAUUGCAGCCUCUGACCGCGUUUUGUCUGAACAGACGAGAGCAGGGGGCACAGGAGGUCCCCCCGGCCACCUGCAGGGGGCGGCAGAGGCCUGGACUGGACGGAAGGCGUCUCGGCGCUCCCCCCGCCCCGCGGCUGCACAAAUGGGAGUCCCCUGGACCCCACAGAGGCCGCAGAUGCAGGGUCCCCCUGAGGGCUGAUGCCCGAGUGUUUCAGACCCGAGCCUGGGUCAAGAGUCAAGAUGCCUCACGCCUCUGCAGCUGGGCAGGGGCAGGAAGCGCCGUCUGCGCAAGGACUGCCCGCCAGGCGCCUGGUCCCAACCCCUGGACCCUUCUGGCCCCGACUCCCCCUUGCUGGGAAGAGGAGGCGAGCUUGGGAAGCGGGCAUCAGGGCAGGCGCACUAGAGCCGAGCAGACAGGUCCCCCUGCCACCAGGAGAAGGCCAAGUUGUCCCAAAUGGGGUCUCCCGACUGAGCGGGCCGUGCCGAGCUGUGCAGAGAGCAAAGCUGCCAGGUCCCUUCUGGCCCGCCGUGGCCGAGGCAGGACCUCAGCCUGGCUGCGGACUGGCUCACGGUGGAGCGGGGGCAGACGGAGUCAGUCCCCUCCCCAGCUCGCAGCCCUCCCACCUUGCGGCUCCCGAGCUCUGGAUUUUCCCCAGAAUCUGAGGAAGCCGUAAAGAAAAGCCUUCCCAAAGGACAGGUCCUGGGCCACGGUGGACGCUGCUGUGUGUGUAUCUGUGUGUGUGUGUUGGGGGUGGACUCUGUGUGUGUGUGUGUGUGUAUGUGUCAGGGGGUGGACUCUGCUGUGUGUGUUUGUGUGCAUUGGGGGUGGGGUAGGAGAGUGACAGCCCCUGUCAAACUGGACAGAGAACAUGGCAGAAGUGCUGUGUGGCCUCUAAGGCUGGAUUAUAAAAGGAUACGCUUUCUGUCUUGCGGUCUCUCACUCCUCCCUUUUUGGGUGACCACCCCGAGACCCAGCCACUGCUGUGAGGAAGCCCAAACCAGCCCACGUGGAGAGGUCCCCAUCUCCUCUAACAGUCUCUUUGAGGAACUGUAGUGCAGCCCCCGCCCCUGGCCCGCAUCGAGUGCCAGCCGUGGGAGCAAACGAGCCUGCCGAGGCCGCAGCUGACACUAAGGGGCAGAUGAGCCAGCCUGCCGAGCCCGCCCA